rnacentral:snoRNA from 1 species
CUUCACGUGAUGAUACUGACCAGUUCUGCUACUGAAGGGACGGCGAUGACACCCUUAGAAUCUGAAGAAG